rnacentral:rRNA from 1 species
UCCGAAAGGAGCGCUAAUACCGCAUACGUCCUACGGGAGAAAGCAGGGGACCUUUGGGCCUUGCGCUAAUAGAUGAGCCUAAGUCGGAUUAGCUAGUUGGUAGGGUAAAGGCCUACCAAGGCGACGAUCUGUAGCGGGUCUGAGAGGAUGAUCCGCCACACUGGGACUGAGACACGGCCCAGACUCCUACGGGAGGCAGCAGUGGGGAAUAUUGGACAAUGGGGGGAACCCUGAUCCAGCCAUGCCGCGUGUGUGAAGAAGGCCUUUUGGUUGUAAAGCACUUUAAGCGAGGAGGAGGCUACCUAGAUUAAUACUUUAGGAUAGUGGACGUUACUCGCAGAAUAAGCACCGGCUAACUCUGUGCCAGCAGCCGCGGUAAUACAGAGGGUGCGAGCGUUAAUCGGAUUUACUGGGCGUAAAGCGUGCGUAGGCGGCCAAUUAAGUCAAAUGUGAAAUCCCCGAGCUUAACUUGGGAAUUGCAUUCGAUACUGGUUGGCUAGAGUAUGGGAGAGGAUGGUAGAAUUCCAGGUGUAGCGGUGAAAUGCGUAGAGAUCUGGAGGAAUACCGAUGGCGAAGGCAGCUAUCUGGCCUAAUACUGACGCUGAGGUACGAAAGCAUGGGGAGCAAACAGGAUUAGAUACCCUGGUAGUCCAUGCCGUAAACGAUGUCUACUAGCCGUUGGGGCCCUUGAGGCUUUAGUGGCGCAGCUAACGCGAUAAGUAGACCGCCUGGGGAGUACGGUCCGCAAG